rnacentral:rRNA from 1 species
CUCGUAGGCGGUUCGGCAAGUCGGAUGUGAAAUCUCCACGCUCAACGUGGAGGGGCCAUUCGAAACUGCCGUGACUCGAGUCCGGUAGGGGAGUGCGGAAUUCCCGGUGUAGCGGUGAAAUGCGCAGAUAUCGGGAGGAACACCAGUGGCGAAGGCGGCACUCUGGGCCGGAACUGACGCUGAGGAGCGAAAGCGUGGGGAGCGAACA